GAUGAACGCUGACAGAAUGCUUAACACAUGCAAGUCAACUUGGUGGCGGACGGGUGAGUAACGCGUAAAGAACUUGCCUCACAGAUAGGGACAACAUUUGGAAACGAAUGCUCAUACCUGAUACUGUGAGAGAGCUUUGCGUCCCAUUAGCUAGUUGGAGAGGUAACGGCUAACAAAGGCGAGGAUGGGUAGCCGGCCUGAGAGGGUGAUCGUCCACAAGGGGACUGAGACACGGCCCUGACUCCUACGGGAGGCAGCAGUGGGGAAUAUUGGACAAUGGGCGCAGCCUGAUGCAGCCAUGCCGCGUGUGUGAAGAAGGCCUUCGGGUUGUAAAGCACUUUCAGCGGGGAGGCGUUACCCGCAGAAGAAGCACCGGCUAACUACGUGCCAGCAGCCGCGUUAAUAC
rnacentral:rRNA from 1 species